CUCCUCCUCCUCCUCCUCCUCCCCCUCCUCCCCGUCCUCCCCCUCUCCCCUCUCCCGGGAUGGUGCCGGGGGGGCGGCGGCACCAUGAGCGUUCGAGCUCCGCGGGCACCGGGUUAAGCAGCCUGUCUUCCCUGGGUGAUUCGUCUUCAGAGCGGAGGUCACCUGGGCACCACCGCCAGCCCUCCGACUCCUCCGAAACCACAGGUCUGGUCCAGCGCUGCGUCAUCAUCCAGAAGGACCAGCAUGGCUUUGGCUUCACCGUCAGCGGGGACCGUGUUGUCCUGGUGCAGUCGGUGCGGCCAGGCGGGGCGGCGAUGAGAGCCGGGGUGCAGGAAGGGGACCGGAUAGUCAAGGUGAACGGCACGAUGGUGACCAACAGCUCACACCUCGAAGUGGUGAAGUUAAUCAAGUCCGGUGCCUACGUCGCUUUGACCCUCCUGGGCUCUCCUCCUCCCUCGGUGGGGCUCUCCGGUUCUCAGCCAGAUGUGAGCACGGCAGGGGCUCCCCACAUCACCCCUGCCUGUCCCCCCCCACCUCCCCCACCGCCACUCCCCCCACCGCAGCGCAUCACCGACCCCAAACCCCUGCAGGACCCUGAAGUCCAGAAGCACGCGACACAGAUUCUCCGGAACAUGCUGCGGCAGGAGGAGGCAGAGUUACAGCGCUUCUACGAGGUGUACAGCCGAAACCCCGCCACGGCGGUGGAGGAGCAGAUCGAGGGCGCCCGCCGGCGUGUCAGCCAACUGCAGCUCAAAAUCCUCCAGGAGACCGGGGGCUUCGUGGAUUCGGGGCGGCUGGGCAGCGGCGACUCUGGCUCCACCGGUUUCAGGGCGACGGAAGGACGCCUCUCUGUGGACUCACAGGAUGGUGACAGCGGGUUGGAGUCCGGCACAGAGCGAUUCCCUUCUGUAAGCGAGGUCUCCUUGAAACGCAACUCCGUUCUCUCUGACCACGGCCUGGACAGCCCACGAACCUCCCCAGUUAUCACCGCCCGCCUCUUCCAGCACCAUCGCCGGCAGGGAUCCGACACCGCCUUCACCCCCUCUGCCGGGCAGUGGAUGGACUUGACGGGACGACCGCUCAUCAUUGGGCCCGAGGAGGAUUGCGACCCAGGAUAUUUCAAUAAUGAGUGCGACUCCCUCUUUCAAGACCUCAGCAAGCUAAAAUCCCGCCCGGCACAUCUUGGGGUCUUCUUACGCUACAUCUUCUCCCAAGCUGAUCCCAGCCCCCUGCUUUUCUACUUGUGCACCGACGUUUGCCAGCAGACGAACCCCAAGGAUUCCCGGGUCUUGGCGAAGGACAUCUGGAACAUCUUCUUGGACAGGAACGCGCCUCUCCGAGUGAAGGUGUCCGAGCAGCUCUUGGCGGAGAUCGAGACUCGCCUACGGAAUGGGGACGAUGUCCAAACCGCCCUCUUUGAAGCUCAGGAGAUGGUGAUGCCUGAGAUACAGGAGCAGAUCCAGGACUACAGAACGAAGCGCACCAUGGGCCUGGGAAGUCUGUACGGGGAGAACGACCUCUUGGACCUGGACGGGGACCCCCAGAAGGAGCGGCAAGUGGCUGAGAAGCAGCUGGCCCAGCUGGGCGACAUCCUGUCAAAAUACGAAGAGGACAGGAGCUCUCCCAUGGCCUUUGCCCUCAGCACGUAUAUGAACCACACAGGCAUCCGCAGCCGGGAGCCCCGGGUGGCCGGCACCAGCGAGAAGACUCAGUCCCUCCCAGAUAGGGACAAGUGGCUGCCCUUCUUCCCCAAGGCCAAGAAGCAGAGCAGCAGCGCGAAGAAGGACAAGGAUGCCAUGGAAGACAAGAAGCGCAACCCUAUCCUCAAGUACAUUGGGAAGCCCAAAAUCUCCUCGCAGAGCACAUUUCAUGUCCCUUUGUCCCCUGUCGAAGCAGUCAAACCCGGCAAUGUGAGGAACAUCAUCCAGCACUUUGAGAACAACCAGCAUUACGAGAGCCAAGAGCCUGGCACGCAGCGGCUCUCCACCGGCAGCUUCCCCGAGGACCUGCUGGAGUCGGACAGUUCCCGUGCCGAGGUCAAGCUGGGCCGCUCGGAGAGCUUGAAAGGCCGGGAGGAGAUGAAGAAAUCCCGCAAAGCAGAAAACGUGCCGAGGUCUCGUAGCGAUGUGGACAUGGAUGCUGCAGCCGAGGCCACAAGGCUUCACCAGUCGGCAUCAUCUUCUGCUUCCAGCCUGUCCACAAGGUCGCUGGAGAACCCCACCCCUCCGUACACACCCAAGAUGGGACGCAGGAGCAUCGAGUCGCCCAGCUUGGGUUUUGGCAUGGAUUCCUUCCUGCCUCAUCUCCUGGAGGACGAGCAGGGUCAGCUUUCUGACUUAGAACCUGAGUUGGACUCCCAAAACUGGCAGCACAUGGUCAGUCGGGAGUUGGUGGCCAACCUGUCGCAAAAGGAGAUCGACCGACAAGAGGUGAUCAACGAGCUCUUUGCCACCGAAGGGUCUCACCUCCGCAUCCUCCGAGUCCUCGACCUCCUCUUCUACCAGCGGAUGAAGAAGGAGGGCCUGCUGUCCCGGGAAGAGCUGGCUCUCCUCUUCCCCAACCUCCCUGACCUCAUCGAAAUCCAUAAUUCUCUCUCCGAAUCCAUGAAGAAGCUCCGGGAAGAAGGACCAAUCAUCAAAGAAAUUGGGGAUCUCAUGCUGUCUCGGUUCGACGGCCUGGCCAAAGAGGAAAUCCAGCAGGUCGCUGCCGACUUCUGCGCUUACCAAUCCAUCGCCCUAGAGCUGAUCAAAACCAAGCAGCGCAAGGAGACCCGCUUCCAGAUCUUCAUGCAGGAAGCAGAAAGCAAUCCACAGUGCCGGCGCCUGCAGCUCAAGGACUUGAUUAUCUCUGAAAUGCAACGCUUGACCAAGUACCCGCUGCUGCUGGAGAACAUCAUCAAGCACACGGAGGUGGGCACCUCGGAACACGACAAGCUGUGCCGAGCCCGGGACCAGUGCCGGGACAUCCUCAAGUACGUGAACGAAGCAGUGAAGCGAGCGGAAAACCGGCACCGAUUGGAAGGCUACCAGAAACGCCUGGAUGCCACCUCGCUGGAGAGGACCAGCAACCCGCUGGCGGCCGAGUUCAAGAGCUUGGACCUCACCUCCCGGCGCAUGAUCCACGAAGGGCCGCUCACCUGGCGCAUCAGCAAGGACAAGACUGUGGACCUCCACGUGUUGCUUCUCGAGGACCUCUUGGUGCUGCUGCAGAAGCAGGAUGAGAAACUGGUGCUCAAAUGCCACAGCAAGACAGCGCUGGGCUCUUCGGACAAUAAACAGACCUUCAGCCCUGUCCUCAAGCUCAACUCCGUGCUCAUCCGCUCCGUGGCCACAGAUAAACGAGCCCUCUUCAUUAUCUGCACGUCAGAGUUGGGACCCCAGAUCUACGAGCUGGUGGCACUGACGUCCUCGGAGAAGAACACGUGGAUGGAGCGGCUGGAGGAGGCGGUGCAGAGCGCCACCAGGAACGCCACCUUCCCCCCAAAGCGCCGGACAGCGGAGCCCAGCCGCGCGGCAGCCUCCGGCCUGGUGCUCCCGGACCCUGAUGUCUCCCCCAUCCUGUCACGAGGCCCCAGCUCUGGAGCCGAGGCCGAGGAUGGCGGCUCCGCAGACGACAAUCCCACCGCGCUCCUGGACGGGCAGAAGCCCCCAGCGCUGCUGGAGGAGCCGCUGAGCAGCGAGGUGGAGGAAGAGGAGGAAGAGCUGCCCACAGCUCCUCUGCCCGUGGCAGCCAGCGGCGAGGCGGCCAACACCAUCCCAGCCGAGCGGUUGGGGCUCCCCACGCGGCUGCCGCUCCGGGGUUCCACCAGCACCGAAGGGUUGGCCGAGGCGGCACUGGAGGAUGUGGAGAACCUGCGGCUCCUGAUCCUACGGAGAAUCCUGCCCUGCUGGGAUGCAGAGCCUGAGGAUGACUUGACGCCAACGCCGUCGGUGAUCGGCGGUGCCGGCCAUGCCUGGGACUCGGUGCUCGCCAGCCAGGAUUCGGCGUCCCAGGAGGUUCUGGCAGAGCCCCCGAGCGCCACUGAGGACACCAAGUCCCGGUCGACCUGGGAGGAGACAGACGAGACGCAUCCGGCUGCUGAGGAACCGAGCGGCUACAAGGUCGUCAGGAAAGCCCAGGCGGAGGGCGCCAAGGAGGCCACGCUCUCGCCAGGCAGCAGCCAAUCAGAAACUGAGCUGCAGGAAGGAGGUGGAGCUAAUGUAGAUGGCAACUACUUCUACGUCAGCAUGCCCACGGGCCGCCCCGCCGCCCCGGACCCCCCGCCGCCCCCCAGCCCCCCGCGGGGGUCCCCGCAGGAGUCACCCCCUUGUCCCCCCCUGGACGCUCCCGCUCCCCUCCGCGACGUCGACCUCAUCUUCCGCACCAUCGAGCAGCUGACGCUCAAGCUCAACCGGCUGAAGGCGGUGGAAUUGGCGCACCGGGAGCUGCUGCGCUCGCUGGGAUGCAGCUCCUCACCCGCUGCCGCUGCGCAGAGGGGCUCAGCCCCCGCCAGGGACGUGGGGACGCCGCGGCCCCCCAGCCCCGACGCCGACAGCCCCCUGUCCCGCGCCCUCCGGAGCCUGCAGGGCCCCAACGCCAACACCCCAGGCUCCCGUGCCCCCCUGGCCGAGGACCCCUCUCCAGAUGCUGCCCUUUAGCCGCAGUGAGUUGGGGGGUGGGGGGGUCACCCCCCCAGGACUCUCUCGAAGCGGGGGAGCGCCCCGACAGCCCCUGUGGCCCCUCCCUGCACUAUGGGACAGGGACGGGGGGGGCUUCGGCUGGAAAGAAGCACGAUUUGGGGGGACACCAGGAGCUGGGGUCCCCCCUUAUCCCCUCGCAUGGCCCCCCCUGCGCCCCCCCGGCCGCGAGAGCUGGAUCCGGUUUGUAUAAAUGCACUUUGUUCCGUUCCUCUCCGCGCUCCCCCCCCCCUAUAAAUAUGUAUGUACGGACCUCCCCCCCCUCUGUAAAUACCCCCCCUGCCAAGAACGGGGACCCCCCCCGGCACCGGGAUCUCCUCCGCACCGGUGACAAUCGGGGAGCCGGGGUGUCCCCCCCACUUUCUCCCUCUCGUGGGGGUGUUGGCGCGGGGGGGGCUGAUAUAAAUAUUAUAAAUACUGGAGCCGGGACGGAGCGGCCGCUGCUGCGGGCGCUGAGCCGCGUCCUGCCCUUCCCAUCCACCGGAAACCUUGGAUCCGCUUUAUUGGGGAAAGAAGCCAAGUGCAUGCGCUGCGUCACCCACGGGAGCACCCUUGGAUGUUUGAGAGCACCCAUGGGUCCUCAGGAGCACCCAGAGAUCCUUGGGAGCACCCACAGGAGCACCCUCGGAUCUUCUGGAGUACCCACAGGUCCUUGGGAGCACCCAUGGGAGCAUCCACAGAUCCUUGGGAGCACCCACAGGUCCUUGGGAGCACCCAU